rnacentral:tmRNA from 1 species
GGGGGUGACCGUUUUGACAGGAAUGCACCUUGAAAGCCGCAAGCCGAGGGUGUCUGGGACCUCGUUAAUCCUUCAGACAAGGCAUCAAAUGCCAAAUUAUUUGCCCCUCAAAGGGCACUUGCUUACGCGUAAUACGAUGUAGGCCAUCCCUCUUUUGAGGCUCCAUAGAAAGAGAAGGGUGUCAUUAUGGAGAUAGGUUGAGAUUAUGAUUCGGGGUCUCAACUAAAAUCAAACGAGUCAAAGAUAGAGUAUACAAGGUUGCCUUGUUUCCGUACUCUUUCUCAAACAAACAGGGAUACGCUUGUAGAAGCUUUUAGGGAAACCUUCUGGACGGGAGUUCAUCCUCCCCACCUCCACAA